ACACUAAAAUUGGGGUAGCGCAUACACUAAAAUUGGAACAAUAGAGAUUAGCAUGGCCCCUGCGCAAGGAUGACACCCAAAUUCGUGAAGCGUUCCAUAUUUUU